AAAUAUCUACAGUGGGCUCGCGGGGCGGAUACUGCGAUUUCUAAAAUACUUUCCGGGUCUUUGCAGAAAUGUAGUGUUGGCAGAAAUCAGUAUACCCGGUAUGGCAAUGGAAGCUUUGCGCGUAAACUGUCAUUAAUUUACGCACGCUCAGAAUACAUUCUAUUCUUUAUCGUCCAUUAAUUACAUGGAAUGGAAUAAUGUGACUACGAUUGGUCAAGAACGGCCUAUUAAACGUGACUUCAUUGAAUGCGCACAUGUGUAUCCUAUAGGUGUUACAUAAGACACAAACGAAAGUGAAAUUAAACGACAAGCAGGGUGACACGAUCUAUAGCAGGCUAGGCUAUCUAUUCAAGAGGCAUCAAUUGAGUUGUGUGACUGCGUUUUACUCCAAGCAAGCUGUUCCUGUCCAGGAUCACGAUAGCUGCAUAUCAUAGCUGCCUCGCAAGAAGAAGACACCCGCAGAGUUGGAAAAGAGGGAAAGACAUCCAUGCGAUCAUCACCCUGGUCAAUGCUGAAGUGAGCAAGAUGGGCGGCAAACUUCCUGUUAAGGAUAAAGAUGGGAAACAUAUUGGCUAUGAGAAGGUUAAGCAAUCACCAGAUUCCAGAAACACCCUGACCAAGACACUCAUCUUUCCUGCUGAGAUCACUUAUACUUCAUAAUGAACUUUUGAUUUGUUAAUGAAACCCUUCAUCUGUCAACCAUCCAUUUGCUAAUUCUACUGUCAGAUGAAGGUUGUAAUAUGACAGGGUGCUUCCACACAGGCUGUGAAUAGGCCUAAUCAUAUGACGCCAGCUACAUUCCAGRGGUGACAUUUUAAUUUUAUCACUUUUAAAAUGAUGAGACAGGAACCACCAUUACUGUUGGUGUCUUUAUUUACCAGUUUGCUAUAUUUACAUGUAUGUGAUAUUUGAUYUUAUUUAGUUUCAUUUAAGGUAUAUAAGGCAGCUGGGACAAUGUGCCAUGUUAUGUUAUUGAUGCUGAAUAUCACCAGGGAUAUACCAAAAGUGCAGUGACAUUGCUGCAGCUUAAUCAACACAACUAGGCUAUAUUUACUUUAACCAAAAUAGCAAUGUAUUUGAAAUGUGAAGAUAGAACACUGAAUCAUCAUGUUAUGUAAUUAAGUGGAGUUUCAUAGCAAGAAUAACAUUUUAUUGGUAUCUCAACCCAUAGUUUCAAGCUUACUUUAUUACAUGUUUUAARGUUAUCCCYUCUACAUACAACAGAAUGUUUUACCAUAACGUUUUCUUACCUGCCUUUGUUGUCACAUUGAAAUAUUUUAUACAUUUAUAAAUAAAUGUUUAUCUUUUGCCAACAG